CAGCAGCCACGGUAAUACGUAGGUGGCAAGCGUUGUCCGGAAUUAUUGGGCGUAAAGGGCUCGCAGGCGGUUUCUUAAGUCUGAUGUGAAAGCCCCCGGCUCAACCGGGGAGGGUCAUUGGAAACUGGGAAACUUGAGUGCAGAAGAGGAGAGUGGAAUUCCACGUGUAGCGGUGAAAUGCGUAGAGAUGCGGAGGAACACCAGUGGCGAAGGCGACUCUCUGGUCUGUAACUGACGCUGAGGAGCGAAAGCGUGGGGAGCGAACAGGAUUAGAUACCCCUGUAGUCCCUGUCUCUUAUAC
rnacentral:rRNA from 1 species